GCCGUGCGCGUAGGAGACUUGAGAAGGGUUGACCCUAGUACGAGAGGACCGGGUUGAACGGACCGCUAGUGUACCGGUUGUCACGCCAGUGGCAGUGCCGGGUAGCCAUGUCCGGUUCGGAUAAGCGCUGAAAGCAUCUAAGCACGAAGCCGACUUCAAGAUAAGGUCUCCCACCGGGUAACCGGGUAAGGGCCCUGGUAGACCACCAGGUAGAUAGGCCGCAGGUGUAAGACAGGUGACUGCUUGAGCUGAGCGGUACUAAUCGCCCGAGGGCUUGUCCACUU
rnacentral:rRNA from 1 species